GUAGGGGCGCCGGACGCGGCCGCGUCGCCGCCGACAUCGACGCAUAACGGGGCGAAGGGGCUCAGGCCGCUGUAGGGUUUAGGUCGUUGUCGGUGGUUUGAAAGGGGAAGCGAGGGACGGCGACGGGCGCCCCGCACUGUGGAAAGUUGUGUGUGAUAUGACACCUAACGAUGUGACGACACCACAUGACGCUCUAGUACACACGUAUAAAGACCACUGACAAACUCCGUUCCGAGUGUAUCAUUAUUUGGUCUUCCGUCUUUUGUUGACAAUGUUUGAAUAUAGAUAAAACUUCUCGUCAACGGACAACAAUGUUACUCAGGUGCGGGUGGACCACCAAGUAAUUUAGCAUUCUUAACAGGUUUACUCGGCUGUAGUGAUGGGUUAGGACGCUUAAAAACGGUGGGCGUUAAAGGAGUCGUAUACGUUGAAAGUGUUGGCGGCAUACGGUACUUAUAGGGAAAGGUGGUUAAGGGUGUCGUUGUGGAUAUGGGUGGCUUACAGGUCAUGCAACAACAGGUUGGUGUUAUACGAGGUAUGAGAAAUGGUGGUGCCUACGGCGGAGGUGAUGGACGAGAUCAAUACGGCAGGUGCAGUCGCAGACUAAGUCCGUGGGGUGCAUACCUUUGAGCAGUUCUUCUUGUUCUGUAACUAUAUCAGUUACUACUCUGACGACUUGGACUGGCCUGACGAUUCGCUAAUGUGACCUGUCUUGUCCUCCUGUAUUCCGACUAUGCAUAAACCGACUUAUCGGGCUUCUAGUUCUUCAUACUGCACAUGACCCGCCUACAAUAUCGUCGUAUGUUGUCGUUGUGGGGAUUUCUAUCCUCUUCCCUUGGUCGUGUAAACUCCACAGUAACCGUAUUCUACUAGGGUUUCUAACGGGCGAAGCUACUAACGACCACGGUCCAGUUCCGUUUUAUAGGAUCACCGGACAGACUGUUAUACGCCGACUACCUGUUUUGUACCCACUACAAGUUACGCCUUCGUGCCCGCUACAUAGAACUCCUUCAUUUUGCAGCAAAACGAAUAUUGGUGACGACCUUUCAACAGACCCUGGUUGGGUUUACCUUUAGGAUGUAGAACAGAAACAGGAGGUCUUUUCGAUUCGAGAGACUCAGACCCCUGAUGUGCAGUAGGAGACUUCUAUGACUCCUACUGGGACUUUUUCUCUGUUCGCUUCUUCCAUCGCAGUGACGCUUCCUCUUUAUACUUCCAUUUCCACUCCACCUUUUUCUAUAAGUUACGAGUGACCUAGAAGUCUUGUACGAUUUCUGAUUAGGUCCCCUCUACUGUCCCCAUGUUGACGACGUACGUCUAGUUUUAGAACUUGGAAGGUCUUAUCUCGGCGGUCUUUCUUUCCUGUUACUUCGUAAUUAUAGUCUCUUCGUUGGUCUUAACAACUACUGACGACGAAGCACCAUGUUACUCAAAGACGGACCCUCACUCGACAACCGACCAUUAAGCUUCAGGUCGCUCAACGUUGUACCCCCUCAUAGCUCUCUUCUACUCGGGCUUUUUCCUUGUGAAUUUGUCCCAAUGUUCCGUGGUCUGGUACUAUCUCGUUGCCGGUACCUUUUGGAAGGACUUUUCCUGACAUGUGUUCAGAAGUUCUUCGGUCUAGUACCCUAUCGUCGCUCCCUUUUAGAAGGACUUUCGUUUCGUCCACACGUUUCAACGUUCCGCUGUUUCGAGUUUGCUUUUGCGUUACCGUUCCGCAACGGAACAAGCAGACUCCACGUCCUCCUGUAGUUUGCACGUCACCUAGAAGUCUGGUACGAAUACUUCCUAGCCCUCUUCUACAGUCUCCAUGUCGAGGCAGAGAGCUUUCUCUUCGAACUCAAGCGGUCUGAUUUCGUUGUCCUUCGUUUCCUGUUCUUCCUUUGUUGUGAAAUGCUCUUCAUAAGUCUCGACAACUACCGACUGUGGAGGUCCAAGUCGCUGAAAGUUUUCCGUCUCAUACUCUUCCGCCACUUCGCGUACCCGCUCUGCAAUAAACCAUCUCUACUAUCGAUCGUAAUUAGCAACUAAAUCAUCCAAUAUAAUUUGUGAAGACCACUUCAUGAUAGAAUACCUCGUGAUUACAACCUUACAUCCAGUUGCAACAAUAUGGACAACUAAAUCGGAUGAGCGCCAAAUUCAUUG
rnacentral:rRNA from 1 species